rnacentral:RNase_P_RNA from 1 species
CAGACAGUCGCGCAGGCAGGCCGAAAGGCCGUUUGUGAGGAAAGUCCGGGCUCCGCAGGGCAAGGAUAACGGGUAACGCCCGCCGAGAGCGAUCUCAGGAAAAGUGCAACAGAAAUAGACUGCCUUUCGUGUGCGCCAUAAAAAGCGCAUCGUUGGGCGAUGGUGGAAAGGUGCGGUAAGAGCGCACCCGACGGCGUGGAAGCGUCCGUCGCUGUAAACUCUAUCCGGAGCAACACCGGUAUGGGAGCGCAGGGGUAACUAGCCGAACCCCGAAAGGCCGGCCCGGCCGCUCCCGGGGUGGCUGGAUCGCGGCGGUAACGCCGCGGCUAGAUAGAUGACUGUCAAAUACAGAACCCGGCUUACAGUUUUGCUCGU